UACGGAGGAUGCAAGCGUUAUCCGGAAUGAUUGGGCGUAAAGGGUCCGCAGGUGGCAAUGUGUGUCUGCUGUCAAAGAAUGAGGCUUAACCUCAUCAAGGCAGUGGAAACUACAUAGCUAGAGUACGGUCGGGGUAGAAGGAACUCCUGGUGUAGCGGUGAAAUGCGUAGAGAUCAGGAAGAACACCGGUGGCGAAAGCGUUCUGCUAGACCUGUACUGACACUGAGGGACGAAAGCUAGGGGAGCGAAUGGG
rnacentral:rRNA from 1 species